rnacentral:misc_RNA from 1 species
AAAAAAAAAAAAGAAAAAUUGAUGUAACAGAAGUCUGCAGUCAUGUAAUGUUUACCCAUACCUUAUGGGUUCCUUUGGAUGGCUUCAAUGAACUUUGCUGCUUAAAAGCCUGCAUCUUCUAAUAAUGUGUUCUAUCCCCAGGUGAAAUUUAAAAAUAAAAUCUGAUUUGCAAAUAUAGAUGGCACAAUUUAUGUAUUAUUUUUUGCAAUUUUAAUAUAAUUAAUGAAUUUUUUUUCUUAGACUGAUUCAUUAUGGAUCUAAGAAGGAUUGAUUUGUUGGCAAUGAUGAAGUGGGACUAGCCAUUUAAAAGAGACAAAUACAAAAUCGUUAGGUUCCAUCAAUUAAAGAAGCAGUUUAGCAGUCUGUUCAAAAGAAAACAUUUAUUAUAUGUACAAUGAAGUAUAGCUAACGUAAUUAGGAGUUGGAUUAG